rnacentral:snoRNA from 1 species
UGCGAUGAUGAUGUAAUUUGCGUCUUACCCCAGUGUUCAGUGACAGUUGCCUGCUGUCAGCAUGCUGACACUGCUGGGCUGAAGACCUCUUGAAUCUGAGCA